rnacentral:rRNA from 1 species
UACGGCGGGGGCUAGCGUUGUUCGGAAUUACUGGGCGUAAAGCGCACGUAGGCGGAUAUUUAAGUCAGGGGUGAAAUCCCGGGGCUCAACCCCGGAACUGCCUUUGAUACUGGGUAUCUGGAGGUCGAGAGAGGCGAGUGGAAUUCCGAGUGUAGAGGUGAAAUUCGUAGAUAUUCGGAGGAACACCAGUGGCGAAGGCGGCUCGCUGGCUCGAUACUGACGCUGAGGUGCGAAAGCGUGGGGAGCAAACAGG